rnacentral:rRNA from 1 species
AAUAGAUACCCGGGUAGUCCACGCCGUAAACGAUGAGUGCUAAGUGUUAGAGGGUUUCCGCCCUUUAGUGCUGCAGCUAACGCAUUAAGCACUCCGCCUGGGGAGUACGGUCGCAAGACUGAAACUCAAAGGAAUUGACGGGGGCCCGCACAAGCGGUGGAGCAUGUGGUUUAAUUCGAAGCAACGCGAAGAACCUUACCAGGUCUUGACAUCCUCUGACAACUCUAGAGAUAGAGCGUUCCCCUUCGGGGGACAGAGUGACAGGUGGUGCAUGGUUGUCGUCAGCUCGUGUCGUGAGAUGUUGGGUUAAGUCCCGCAACGAGCGCAACCCUUGAUCUUAGUUGCCAGCAUUCAGUUGGGCACUCUAAGGUGACUGCCGGUGACAAACCGGAGGAAGGUGGGGAUGACGUCAAAUCAUCAUGCCCCUUAUGACCUGGGCUACACACGUGCUACAAUGGAUGGUACAAAGGGCUGCAAGACCGCGAGGUCAAGCCAAUCCCAUAAAACCAUUCUCAGUUCGGAUUGUAGGC